CCUCCAAGGCUAAAUACUACUGACUGACCGAUAGUGAACCAGUACCGUGAGGGAAAGGCGAAAAGAACCCCUGUGAGGGGAGUGAAAUAGAACCUGAAACCGUGUACGUACAAGCAGUAGGAGCACCUUCGUGGUGUGACUGCGUACCUUUUGUAUAAUGGGUCAGCGACUUAAUUUUAGUAGCAAGGUUAACCGUUUAGGGGAGCCGUAGGGAAACCGAGUCUUAACUGGGCGUACAGUUGCUAGGAUUAGACCCGAAACCAGGUGAUCUAGCCAUGGGCAGGUUGAAGGUUGAGUAACAUCAACUGGAGGACCGAACCGACUAAUGUUGAAAAAUUAGCGGAUGACUUGUGGCUAGGGGUGAAAGGCCAAUCAAACCUGGAGAUAGCUGGUUCUCCCCGAAAGCUAUUUAGGUAGCGCCUCGGACGAAUACUACUGGGGGUAGAGCACUGUUAAGGCUAGGGGGUCAUCCCGACUUACCAACCCUUUGCAAACUCCGAAUACCAGUAAGUACUAUCCGGGAGACACACGGCGGGUGCUAACGUCCGUCGUGGAGAGGGAAACAACCCAGACCGCCAGCUAAGGUCCCAAAGUAUAGCUAAGUGGGAAACGAUGUGGGAAGGCUCAGACAGCCAGGAUGUUGGCUUAGAAGCAGCCAUCAUUUAAAGAAAGCGUAAU
rnacentral:rRNA from 1 species